GGGCGUGUGGCUCAGUUGGUAGAGCGCCCGCUUAGCAUCAAACAUUCAGUUCUGAAGCCUCAUGCGGAAGGUCCCCGGUUCGAUUCCGGGCUCGUCCA